GACGAACGCUGGCGGCGUGCUUAACACAUGCAAGUCGAGCGGUAAGGCCCUUUCGGGGGUACACGAGCGGCGAACGGGUGAGUAACACGUGGGUGACCUGCCUUUAGCUCUGGGAUAAGCCUGGGAAACUGGGUCUAAUACCGGAUACGACUCCGCGGUGCAUGCUGUGGGGUGGAAAGCCUUGUGCGGCUGGAGAUGGGCCCGCGGCCUAUCAGCUUGUUGGUGGGGUGAUGGCCUACCAAGGCGACGACGGGUAGCCGGCCUGAGAGGGCGACCGGCCACACUGGGACUGAGACACGGCCCAGACUCCUACGGGAGGCAGCAGUGGGGAAUCUUGCGCAAUGGGCGAAAGCCUGACGCAGCGACGCCGCGUGAGGGAUGACGGCCUU
rnacentral:rRNA from 1 species